GUUGGAUAAUGGACAAGCAGAGGUAACUAAAAAAUGGGAAAACUUAAAUAAUAAUCAGAAUAAAUUACAUAAUAAUAAUUUUAAGUCAACUAAAAAGUGGAAUGAGUUGGCUAAAAAUGAUGAUAAGUUAUGUACUAAAAAAAAUAUUAUUAAUAUGGAUAAUAAAUUGCUUUCAUUUAAUGAUACAAUAAUAUUAAGAAAAGAAUUAAAAAGUAAUAAAAUAUUUUCAGUUUAUACAAAAAGUUAUAUACAUAAAGAAAAUGAACAAAUAUUAAUAACAUGUAUUAGAAAAUUGAAUGAAUAUGAACGUAUAAAAAAUAAUAUAAAAUUAAGUAUGUUUAUAUACGAGUUACAAAAUUUGAGUAAAUCUAAAGUAAGUUUCAAUGUUUUACAACAAAUCAGUAUUAUUAAAAAAUUACUUGAACAUAUUAAUAACAAUAUAGGGAGUGUGUCAUCUGCUUUUUUACUUUUAUCAGUUGCUAUAAGUUAUAAAAAUAUAAAAUUAAAUAAAUAUACUUAUUUUAAAAAUGUUUUAAGUUCUAUAUGUAAUAAUAUAAAAGUAUAUAAAAGUAAUAAAUUAAAUAGAUUGUUAAAAAACAAAAACGAAAAUGAAGAUAAUUACAAAUAUACUAUUGAAUUAUUAAAUAAAAAAAAAAAUAAAAAAAAUAAAAUUAAUAUGUUAAAUAUAUAUACUAACCAUUUAAAUAAUAGUACAUUAUGUUAUAUAUUAUAUUCUUAUUCAUGCUUAUUUAAUACUAAAAAUGCAUAUAUAUUAUAUAUAUGUAAAUAUAUCUUAUUAAAUAUUGGCACUAUUAAUUAUUUAGACAUGUUAUCUUUAUUAUAUUUUUUAAGUAAAAUUAAUGGGAAGCUUAACAAACAUGAUGUACAAUAUUUUUAUGACAAUACUGAUAUGUUCAGGUUAAAUGAUAAAAACAAAAGUUAUAGUCCAGAAAAAGAAAAAAAAAUGGAACACAACAUCACCAACUCAUUACAACAACAACAGCAGAAACAUAUGUCACAGCAUGAUCAUGACAAAAAAAUGGACAGCAAAAAAAUGGAUGGCGAAAAAAUUGUUAUUAAUAACGUGUCUAGUUUAAAAAAACUGAGUAGUAACAAUAAAUAUGAUGAAUAUAAAAAUGCAUAUUUAAAAAUAUUAAGAUCAAUUAUUUAUUUUAUAAAUAAAAAAAAAAUAAUAAAUUAUGAAAAUACGAAUGUUUUAAUACUUAUUCUUUAUUAUUAUGUAAAAAUGAAUUUAAUACCUAUACAAAUAUUUUAUAAAUUAAACUAUAAAAUAAAAAAAAACAUCAAAAAAAUAAAAGUAGACACAAAAUAUAUAUCUUUAUAUGUAUAUAUAUUAAGUCGUAUUAAAUUUGAUAUAAGUUAUUAUAAAUAUGUAUAUAAACAUUUAAAUAAUAUUUUUAAAAAUAGAAUAAAAAAUUUUGACGUACUAUCAGUGUCAUUAUCUUUUUAUUCGCUUUCCAAAAAUUUGUAUUAUGACCCAGACUUUGUACAAACAUGUAUAGAACUAUUUAAAAUGUACGUAACAAAGUGUGAACAAAAAAUAAAAAUCAAACAAAAAAUAGAAACAGCAAUCAUGAGCGUGUGGCAUAGAGUCUAUACAUACAUUGCGUAUAAUGUAUAGUG
rnacentral:lncRNA from 1 species